AUGCGGUGUUGCGCCUGCGUAGCCGGCGGGCUGGCAGUGAGACUGACUGCGUCGGGGUUGAGACUGGGUGGAUGAGGCUCACCCCGGCGGGGAGAAGGGACGAGGAGGGGCGGACAGCGGAAGGUCCGGGAGUGUCCGCCAUAAAGUCGUUUGAGUUUUAACUUCUAGUCAUGGCGAAUGAUCGCAGGAGAGCACAGACUGGACCCUGCUACGAUCUCUCUUGGAGUGGAUCAGACUGAUGAUCACCAACAACCAACUCAUUCCCGGAUAAGGAAGAAGAGAGUGUCACCUACUUCAGUGUGGUUUCAACCCUACUUCUGCAUCUUAAAGACACUUGUACAACGUUGGACACUGUGCAGGAUGAUGCCACUUCAUCUUGGAUGCUAAUCUGCCAUGUUGACUUCUGAUUAACCCCAGGCCCAGGAAUGCCUCAAGAUUUCUACUUUACUUACUGUUGCUUGUGUAAGCCAAGACAACCUUGAUGUUAUCAUAAACAUGUACUUACCUAAGUCCUGUCCUUUGGCAAAUUAUGGGCUAUGAGACACAGCAUUCUUGCCUUUCCCUGAGGGGUCAAUUUCAGCGAUCCUACACAUUCCUUCUGAAGCACUUAUGCUCUUUCUAUAUGGUAUGUAAGCUCUCGGUCUGGGGAGUAACAGUGCAGAGAUCUACCUGUCUUGUUGCCACAUGUUUCUAAACUUUCCAAUAAAUCACCUUCUACUGACAAACUGGA
rnacentral:lncRNA from 1 species